rnacentral:lncRNA from 1 species
UUCAUAUCAUACUAUCAUAGGUAAAUGAGAAAGAGAUGCUAUCAUGAUAUAAUUAAAAUAAAACACGGGGAAAUACUCGACAUUGGAUGACACAACAUGUAAUCCAAACUCAUACAUAUGACAUACUGGCGAAUAAGGGCAACAUGAUCCCCUAUAUACUCAAAACAUAGGCCGACAAGGCCAUACAAGAAUUCGUAUACAUGACAUUUGUCUAAGAGCCUCUAAAAAUACAUAAUCUCAUAAAGGUCGGGACAGAGCCUCGUCAUAUCAAUCAGUGCACGUACUAAUCAUAUGGACCAAAAGCAACUCUGGAGCAAAUGGAGUGCACCCACAUCUUCUGCUGAACUGAUAGCCUACUUGGAAGACUCUCGACCUCUAUAUCGAGACCUGCAGUCAAGAAACUCAACAUUCCUAGGCAAAAGGGACGUCAAUACGAAUAAUGUACCAAGUAUAUAAGGCAUAUAAACAAGUAUAUAAAAGACAUGAAAGAAAAAUAGAGUUCAUGGCUCAACCUGUAAGUCUGGACAAUUAUGUAAAUCAUG